CCAAUAGCGUAUAUUAAAGUUGUUGCAGUUAAAAAGCUCGUAGUUGAAUUUCGGGGUUCUACCGUUGGUCGGGCUUUGUCUGUACUGGCGUGUGGAAUUUCUACCUUCUGGGGAACUAUCAUGUUAUUCAUUUAACGUGGUGGGAAACCAGGACCUUUACCUUGAAAAAAUUAGAGUGUUCAAAGCAGGCUUGUGUCUGAAUACAUUAGCAUGGAAUAAUAAAAUAGGACGGUGGUUCUGUUUUGUUGGUUUCUGAAUCACCGUAAUGAUUAAUAUGGAUAGUUGGUGGCAUUAGUAUUCAAUUGUCAGAGGUGAAAUUCUUGGAUAUAUUGAAAACUAACUUCUGCGAAAUCAUUUGCCAAGGAUGUUUUCAUUAAUCAAGAACGAAAGUUAGGGGAUCGAAGACGAUCAGAUACCGUCGUAGUCUUAACCAUAAACUAUGCCGACUAGGGAACGGACGAUGUUAAUUUUUCUUGACUCGUUCGGCGCCUUACG
rnacentral:rRNA from 1 species